UAUCUCUGUAGAGUCUGCAUAUCAAUAAGCGGAGGAAAAGAAACUAACUAGGAUUCCCUCAGUAACGGCGAGUGAAGCGGGAAGAGCUCAAAUUUGAAAUCUUCAAGGUUCUACCUUGACGAAUUGUAGUUUAAAGAAGUGUUUUCUGUUGGAGUUUUGGUAAAAGUUCUUUGGAAUAGGACAUCAUAGAGGGUGAGAAUCCCGUAUUUGACCAUUACUUUCCAGCGUUGUGAUACACUUUCAAAGAGUCGGAUUGUUUGGGAAUGCAGUCCAAAAUGGGUGGUAAAUUUCAUCUAAAGCUAAAUACUGGCGAGAGACCGAUAGCGAACAAGUACCGUGAGGGAAAGAUGAAAAGAACUUUGAAAAGAGAGUUAAACAGUACGUGAAAUUGUCAAAAGGGAAGCGUUUGACACCAGUGUUGUUUUCUCGAAAAUCAAUUAAAAAAGGCAGGAUUUUGUGUUGUAUUGACUUUAUCAGCUUUCUGCACUCUUUUCUUGUCUUUUUUAAUGCACUUUUCGUUUAACAAGUCAACAUCAAUUUCUUUUGUUGUAAAAGGGUCAUUGGAAGGUGGCUUUCUUUUCGGAGAAAGUGUUUAUAGCCUUUGGCCUCUGCAAUCGGAGAGAUUGAGGUCUGCAGCGUAGAUCCUUCGGGGUUAGAUACAUUUGUGCUAAGUUAUAGCCUUUCAUAGACAACUUGUUGACUAUGAUCAGUCAUGUAGCUUACUCGCUUAUGCUAUUUUACCUACGCUUAGGAUGUUGACGAUCAGCUGAGCGCG
rnacentral:rRNA from 1 species